rnacentral:rRNA from 1 species
GACGAACGCUGGCGGCGUGCUUAACACAUGCAAGUCGAACGGAAAGGCCUGCUUUCCCUUGUGGAUUGCGGGUACUCGAGUGGCGAACGGGUGAGUAACACGUGAGUGAUCUGCCCCCAACUUGGGUAUAAGCCUGGGAAACUGGGUCUAAUUCCCGAUAGGACUGCAGGGUGGUGCCUGUGGUGGAAAACGAUUUUCUAGUGGUUGGGGAUGAGCUCGCGGCCUAUCAGCUUGUUGGUGGGGUAAUGGCCUACCAAGGCGGCGACGGGUAGCCGGCCUGAGAGGGUGGACGGCCACAUUGGGACUUAGAUACGGCCCAGACUCCUACGGGAGGCAGCAGUGGGGAAUAUUGCACAAUGGGCGGAAGCCUGAUGCAGCGACGCCGCGUGGGGGAUGACGGCCUUCGGGUUGUAAACUCCUUUCGACCGCGAGGAAGCCACCUGGUUGGAAGGGUGGUGACGGUAGUGGUAGAAGAAGCACCGGCUAACUACGUG